rnacentral:rRNA from 1 species
AUGGACAGGGUGACCAAUUUCUUGGGGGCGCGGCGGGACACGACAACGACAACGACGACGACGAGCCUCUCUGAGUCCUGCGGCAGCCUAUACAACUUCCUUUUGCCCAGGUUCUGGCGUCCUGUGAGUCAACCGGAUGAUUGUGAUGCUGCCUUCACUAACGCAACCUCAGAGCGACGUCUUCAUUGUCCUGAGAGGGUACUGGUCGUGAUGUGUGGUGAUGGUGAUCAACUUCCACGCUACCUGAAUGCUCCAUAUUCGAUAUCGGAUGCCAACACAGCCUCGACGCCAAUCGAUGCUGGUGCAGCACCGGCAGCAGCACUAGCACGCUCUCCGGAUCCUCUUGCUCCCAGUACCCUCCUUACCCUGGAGACCCUACAGGGACCUCCACGCCACCUGGAUGGUGAUACAUAUUCGAUUUCGGAUGAUGGUUCCUCUCCCUCCACCAACACAACCUCGACGCCGAUCGAUGGUGGUGCAGCACCGGCCCCAGGACCAGCACGCUCUCCGGAUCCUCAUGCUCCCAGUACCCUGGAAACCAUGCUACAUGAUGAGAGCUCGAGGCCGCACCACAUACCGCUGCAAGAGUUAAAGGAGACCACGGAUAACUUCUCCAUCGAGCGGAUACUUGGCCAAGGUGGUUUCAGCGUGGUAUACAAGGGAGUGCUGCCGAAUGGGGAAAUGAUCGCCGUGAAGAGGAUCGCAUCGUCGCUAAUUCCAGGCCUGCAGAAACAAUUCGAGCGUGAGGUUUACCAUCUUAUGGUGCUGAAGCACCCAAAUAUUGUGCGGUGCGUAGGCUACUGCUACGAGACACAUAAUGCAUGUUUGGAGUACAACGGGAAAUACGUUUUCGCAGAGACAGCAAAGAGAUUACUCUGCUUGGAAUAUAUGCCCAAAGGAAGUCUCAAUAAGUAUCUGUCAGAUGAAUCUUCUGGACUUGAUUGGAGCACACGCUACAAUAUAAUUGAGGGGAUUUGCUACGGUUUGUGUCAUCUUCACGAGCAAAUGGAUAAGCCUAUUCUUCACCUUGAUCUAAAACCUGCCAACAUAUUGCUCGAUGACGGUAUGCUCCCAAAAAUUACAGACUUUGGUCUAUCAAGACUACUUGAUCAAAAACAAAGUAUUUGCACUUCAUCUCGGGAUGGAACAUUUGGUUACAUGGCGCCAGAAUUUUUAAAUGGAGGUAAAAUUACACCAAAAUCAGAUAUAUUCAGUUUGGGUGUAAUUAUCUUGGAGGUAGUAACAGGACACAGGGACUACCCGGACGUUACUAGAACUGCUUCAGAUGAAUUUAUCGAGCUUACUAUUAGAAAAUGGAGAAAUGUGUUACAGAGAACGCCGGGGUACUGGUCGCUAAGAAUAGAUUGCCAACAAAUAAAGAGGUGCCUCCAGGUAGGCCUAAUCUGUGUGAAUCCUGAACGCACCAAGAGGCCUCCGGUAGCGAAGGUUAUCAGUAUGCUUCGAGGAUUGGAAUGUAUUGAUUAUAGCAUUUUGGAAUGA